rnacentral:lncRNA from 1 species
GAUAAUUUAUGUUGGUGCUAAUAAUGUUUAGUUUAAGUUUAAUAAAUCAUUCUUGUCUGUGAGGACUUGCAUGCUUAGAAAAAGAGCUAGGUAUAUCACAAAUUACUCUAAUUUAGAAGCAAGGUCUGUAAUAACACGAAUCGAUUUCUAUGAGCUGAAGAAACAAGUGGCGUGAAUGACGAAUAUUACGGCCUGAGAUAAGCGGCUUCAGAUAAUGUGCAUAGAUGCUUAAUAUCAUUUUUAUUUUUAUUCUUAUUCAUGUGAUUGUAAACAACUUAAACACUUAAAUGCAAUCAAUCUAAACUAAGUAACGAGUAAAGUAGUAAAUAGCAUAGGAAUACAUCGAAACAUAACCGCGAUCUAUAUAAACGUAGCCAGAAUAAGGAUAUUUUUGGCAUUUAACUUGAGAUCGCGUGCUUACAUAUGAGGCGUCUCAUAGCAAAACUCGUCUUAUCCAAAUUUUACGAAAAAUGUGGUAAAUAUAGCAAUAUUCUCUUUAGGUUGAUAUGCUCCUUCUACCUUAAUAAUAUUCACCAAAACUUGCCUUAUCCUAUUAAAAUUCAACGGCAAAAUAUUGCUGUUAUCGCAAAACUUGCCUUAUCCACUUGAUGUGUCGUUUCAAAACGCGCGUUAUCCGCGCGACCAAUCAGAAGUCGAAAACAUGAAACACGUGCCUGCUUAUAUCACCCGUUUUAUAUUUUUGUAGAUUAUUUGGAUUAGUAUAGGUUAUAACAGAGUUUUUGUGGGAUAUUCUUACCAAAUUCUUUGUUUUUAACUAACUUUUAAGGUAUUUUUAUUGGAAUUAUAAUUUAUAAAACUAACAAGUUAUUUUUAAUAUGGAGCAAAAAAUUAUCCCCGCAGAACGGGGUAAAUGCAGAAGAAAUAUCAGUGACAGAUCUUAGUGGAAAAGAGAAAUACUAAAAACGCGAAGGGCGUUCCGCCAAAGGUUUGCCAGUCUAUCCUACCUGCGGUUACAAUGGAAAAACAUACAAAUAUAUAAGAUUAACCAGCCGAGAUGUUUAUGACUUUCAUCAAAACUUUUAUCAGGGGAAAACCAAGAAGGAGCAAGAUGCGUAUAUAUUAAAAUUUUGUAAAUGUUCACAACCGAAGCGCGAUAGACAUAUAAAAGUAGGUAGCAGCCGAAAAGGUGUAAGUGUUAAUCCGAUGAAUACCGGAUUUGACGAAUUUUCAAAUUAUGUGUUUGAUUACGACUUUGACAUUUUGGGACUGUCAGAAACGUGGUUAACUCCUGAGCAUGAUAGCAGUAGCUUCGAAAUUCCUGGAUACAAACUUAUUAGGAGAGAUCGAGUAGGAAGGGGUGGAGGCGUAGGGAUAUACAUUAAUUCCAUUGAGAAGUCACAUUUCUCCUUAUUUAAACAAUAACUUAAUUCUAAAUAUGAAAAAUCGUAGAAAAUAUCACAUGUAUUCCUUUGUGUAUAAAGUUAUAAAAACUAGGGAGCCAUUAUAUUUAGCUAACAAUUUUACAAAUUUUCUUCAUGAGCAUAACACUAGAUUUAUAAAUUUAUUUAGAAUACCACAACAUAGAACAGUAAAUUUUCAAAAAUCUUUUGUUUUUGUCGCCUCUCAACUUUGGAAUAGACUUCCGGCUAAUUGCAAAAGUUUUCCGUUUACUGCAUAUAAAAAAUAUAUUCGUAAUAAACUGCUUGAUUCUCAAAAAAACAAUACUUAAUCUACAAUAAAAAUUAAAAGAGCUGAGCCGCUCGAUCUUCUAUUGCUGUCUACUUAUUAUUGUUUUAAAUAUUAAUUAAUUUACCUUUCCUGCAUAUCCAGAACCCCCGCCUGCUUCGCCUUACUUAAAUACUUAAAUAUGAUACUCAACGCAUGCAUGUCUCGAUCAAUUAAGAAAAUCUUUUUUUUUUACUUUUUACUUUUAAGGUUUUUGAAGGGCUAUGCCACACAGGUUCUAUCUUAUGAUGAACCUGUGUAAACGGUUCUCUAUAAUCGAGGCAUGGUCCUAUUUAUCAUGUAUUUGGUAGGUUGUACAACAUAUGUAUAUUAUUAUGCUACAAUUUUGUAUAUGAUUAUUUAUUUACCUUCAUGAUAAAUAAAUUUGUUUUGAAUUUGAA